rnacentral:lncRNA from 1 species
AAGACUAUUCUUUAGAAUGUUACACAACAUAGAAUUUUAACGUUUGAAGAGCUUGAGUCCUUUAACAAUUAAAAUUACAAACUCUUAAUAAUAGUCAAGUACUAUUAUUCUUUAGACAACUAUAAACCAAUCAUAUUCAAGUUUAUAUCCAUUUUCACACCUCCCACUAUUUCUCAUGACUUUAAUGAGAAAUCACUUCAUACAUUCAAAAUGUAUAAACGUGGAGUAUACGGGUAGAAGACAUUGUGUAGUAGCUUUAAAACCUUUCAAGCUCGUUUGUUUCAAUCUUCACUAAGUUAAUGUCUCGUUAUUAAGUGACUAAAGUCUUUAAACAUUUUAUAGAUUUAGACACUUCUUUCUUGGUUUAAUCACUAACACAAUUGACAUUUUAAAACAAUUUUAAGAAUGCCCAAUUAGUUGUUCAAAACUACUAAUUGAAUCAAGAGUGAUCUUGAUUAUUGUGGUUUAAGUGAUAACCAUAUAAGAAACGUUUUUCUUAUUACUUAUAUCAUUAUAAUGUGAUCUUCCUUUUCUUCAAGAAAGGAAUCUCUAGACCUUUUGUCAAUUCAUAUAGAACUCAUAGGUAGACAAUUGGAACCAAAUCUAAAGAUUCAUUGUAUCCUUUUAUGUCCUACAUGUGAGAUCUAUCCAUAAUUGAUAAGUCUAAAGUUUGGUUAUCACAUUACAAUAAGUGAUAUAAACUCUUGUAUCUCGACUAGGAUACAACAA